CUGAGGCCAAGCUCCGUCAGUAAAUCUCUCAGCAUUCCUUAGGGUGUCUCACUUCCCUCGGGAGCGCGAGGCAGCCAGUAUAAAAGCUCGGCCAUCCCAGGGCUCCUCACUCAACUGACACCGAGCAUCGCGACGUUCCCACCAGCACCGAAGAGUCACUGCUCCAAGAUGUGCUCCAGACAAAGCUCCGGAGGCUGCCAUGGGAUGUCCUCCCAGUCCAGCGGGUGCCACAGCGAGGGCUCCGGUUGCCACGGGAGCGGCUCCUCCAGCUACCAGUCCCAGGGCUCCUCCUGCUGUGGGGGCGGCGGGGGCUCCGGCAAAGUCAUCAUCAGCUCUGGUGGUGGUGGAGGAGGAUCCUGCUGCAGUGGGGGCUCCUCUGGAUACGGGAUAGGAGGGGGUUACAGUGGUGGCUCUUCAGGAUCAAAGAGCAUCAUUGUAGGUGGAGGUAGUGGGGGUUCCUCUGGAUGCUGUAGUGGAGGAUCCAGCUAUGGGUAUGGUGGGUCUUCAGGAUCAAAGAGCAUCAUUGGAGGUGGAGGUUCCUCUGGAUACUGUGGU
rnacentral:lncRNA from 1 species